UACAGAGGGUGCAAGCGUUAAUCGGAAUUACUGGGCGUAAAGGGCGCGUAGGCGGCCUGCUAAGUCGAACGUGAAAUCCCCGGGCUCAACCCGGGAACUGCGUCCGAUACUGACAGGCUUGAAUCCGGGAGAGGGAUGCAGAAUUCCAGGUGUAGCGGUGAAAUGCGUAGAUAUCUGGAGGAAUACCGGUGGCGAAGGCGGCAUCCUGGACCGGCAUUGACGCUGAUGAGCGAAAGCUAGGGGAGCAAACGGG
rnacentral:rRNA from 1 species